AAGUAUGUUUCCAAGGGCCAUGACCAUGGUAUCUCCAACUGCAUGAUAGAGCAGCCUAGGAGAUUUUGAUAGCUCAGACCAACACAGGACCUGUGACUGCCACUCACCUUUCCUAUAAAG
ensembl:snoRNA